rnacentral:lncRNA from 1 species
GAAGAUUGUCCUUGAACUAACAUCUGUGCCAAUCUCCCUCCAUUUUGUAUGUGGGAUGCUGCCACAGCAUGGCUUGAAGAGUGGUGUGUAGGUCCACAACUGGGAUCCAAACCCAACAACCCUGGGCUGCCAAAGUGGAGCACAUGAACUCAAUCACCUACACCACCAGGCUGGCCCCUAAAAAUUUUUUAAUUGCCUAAAUUUUGAUAACAUAGUUUCUUCUGUUUCUUUAGCCUUAUUUGAAGAGUCCUGAAGGGACAUGAACUUAGAAUUCUGUAUUCAUUUAGAGGCUCUAGUAUGCAAAUCAAAGAAAGCUGAUCCUUGUAUGUUAGGGAUUUUGUUCCUUUCUGUUUUAAGGCUCUCCUUAGAUAUUGUCCUUUAUUAAAGUCAAAAGUUCCUAUAGAGACCUACUAUAUAUUUUUAUCAUCCCUGGUACAGGAAUUCCAUUUUGUAGACACUGACAACUAAUGGGUAAGCAUGAAAAAAGCUAGAGGUUUAGAGGGAGGAAGAAGCCUCUGAUCCUUAGAAUUACAGAAACCCACACUGGUGCACAUACAAAACAAAUAUGCACAGUGUGUUCUUUCUCUGAUUAGAAGCACAUGAUAAUAACAACUUCUCAAAUUUACAGUAUAAAUGCUAGGAAAUGCCAGAAUCCUCAUGACAAACAGACAAAAACAAACAAACAAAGCUAACAAACCCAGAUUUCCUGUUGUCUGCCACUUGCCACAGAAUGGAUUCUUGUUGAAUGCCACCUGACAAAACAAUCACCACCAGUAGUUGAUUAGACAACCAAAAUCUCACAUCACUGAUACCAGAAGGGAAGAAAAAUGGGAUAAAUGCAAAUCUGAAAAACAACUUGGCUUGUGAGAGCCCAAAAGCUCAAUCACUAUCUAUACCACUCACCAGAAGAGCCAGGAAAGCUUCAUUCUGUUGGUAUGGUCAGAAGUCUGUACCAAGCCACUAUACUGAUGUCGUGCCUUUAUCUGACCCUGGAUCUGAUCUCAUCUCAAGGCCUAAAUCAUUUGAACACUGUUACAGGCACAUAGAGAAAUGUGGAAGCCCAUCUCGUUGUUAACUUCUCAGAAGAAGAUAACUGAAUGAAUGUCCUAAUCAAAUUUAUACAUCUUUCAGAUGUUAAUAAUCCAGAACAUAUCCACUGAUACUAAUGGUAAACAUUUUUACCAUUUGUGAAUUUAAGGUAACC